rnacentral:rRNA from 1 species
UACGUAGGGUGCGAGCGUUGUCCGGAAUUACUGGGCGUAAAGAGCUCGUAGGUGGUUUGUCGCGUUGUCCGUGAAAACUCACAACUCAAUUGUGGGCGUGCGGGCGAUACGGGCAGACUGGAGUACUGCAGGGGAGACUGGAAUUCCUGGUGUAGCGGUGGAAUGCGCAGAGAUCGUGAGGAAGACCAGUGGCGAAGGCGGGUCUCUGGACAGUUCCUGACACUGAGGCACGAAGGCCAGGGGAGCAAACGGG